AUGCUUAGUUCAGCAGUACAUAUACUAAAAUUGGAACAAUACAGAGAUUGGCAUGGCCCCUACAUAAGGAUGACAAGCAAAUUCAUGAAGCAUUCCAUAUUUUU
rnacentral:snRNA from 1 species